GACGAACGCUGGCGGCGUGCCUAAUACAUGCAAGUUGAGCGCUGAAGGUUGGUACUUGUACCGACUGGAUGAGCAGCGAACGGGUGAGUAACGCGUGGGGAAUCUGCCUUUGAGCGGGGGACAACAUUUGGAAACGAAUGCUAAUACCGCAUAAAAACUUUAAACACAAGUUUUAAGUUUGAAAGAUGCAAUUGCAUCACUCAAAGAUGAUCCCGCGUUGUAUUAGCUAGUUGGUGAGGUAAAGGCUCACCAAGGCGAUGAUACAUAGCCGACCUGAGAGGGUGAUCGGCCACGUUGGGACGAGGACACGGACCAAACUCCUACGGGAGGCAGCAGUAGGGAAUCUUCGGCAAUGGACGAAAGUCUGACCGAGCAACGCCGCGUGAGUGAAGAAGGUUUUCGGAUCGUAAAACUCUGUUGGUAGAGAAGAACGUUGGUGAGAGUGGAAAGCUCAUCAAGUGACGGUAACUACCCAGAAAGGGACGGCUACUACGUGCCAGCCGCCGCUGUAA
rnacentral:rRNA from 1 species